UAUUGGUUUAUUUCACUAUUAUAUUUCAAAAGAAUGUAAGCUCUUUGUGGUCAGGUAUUUUAUAUGUUUUAUUAAUUGAAGUAUUCUCAGAAAGGUAGCUGGCAGAUUGUAAGGACUCACUAAACUGUAUUUUGUUGUUAUUAUUGGGCUCCUUUAUGGGCUUUACCUCUUACGCUAGAAGUCUAUCCUUCAGAUGUAAGCAAUAAGAAUAGAGCCCUGCUGCCUGUUCAAAUGAGUAAAAAGCCUGUAUUAAGUGGAUAUUUUAAAAGCUAAAUGAAUGGCUUAAUAGUUGUAUAUAGGGGGAAAGGGAACAUAUUUUCCACAGUUUAGAAGUGGAGUUCUUUUAUAGAGUUCUUGUACAAGCCUACACUAUUGAACGAUAAUGGGCAGUUGUACAUUACAAUUAUACAAACACUUUGGUAAUUUAUAUCCUUUUUUUGUAAUUCAUGACUGGAUCAUUUAAUUCCUUAGGAGCAUUAUAGCAUUUCAACUUUUCAUGUUCAAUAAACUUAUUGGGGUUGCUACCUUUUUUAUUCAAAUGGAGAAAUAGUCAUGAUUUAAUCUAAAUAAAGUGUUAUUGAUUGUGUUGUUUUCUAGGAAUGAGUCGCACAUGCUAGUUUAAAAGUUUUGUUAAAUUCUCAAGUCUGUCACUGAUAAAAGCCUUUUGUAGAUUAGUAACUUGAUCAAAACGGAAAAGUUAUGUAACACCAAUUGUUAUACUAUCUUUGUUUCCAUCUUGCAUUGUAAUAACACCCAUCUUAACUCUAUUUAAGACAAAUCAUUGCCAGAUGGCUUUCUGGCAUUGAUUGCAUGAUAUGAAAUCUAGUAUAACUAAAAGUUUUUGGUUUUAGUAGCAUAUAAAUCAAUUUAGAAAAAUAUAUGUAUUUGAAUAUAAGAUAAAGUUUUAAAUUAUUUGGCAAUAGUAAACUAAACUUUUUUUUUGUAAAUUUUUAUUUUCUAAAAUUUCAUUGAGCUCUUUUGCAAUAAGAAACAAGUUACAAAAAAUUAAGGUUUAUUUACCCCAAUUCAAAAUUAUUAGGAAUAUAAUCAUAGAGGUUGAAGUAUUUAAAAUAUUGAACCCAAAAUAUUUUAUUAGGUAAAUUCAUGAAUGCUGAGCAUUCACUGUUAAAAUAUACUAAUACUAUUGAUAGACUGGUAGAAGCCUAAAAUCAAAUAUUUAUUAAAUAUUUAUAUCCAUAUCUUUUCAUGGCUUGGUAAUUCAUUUCUCUAGCAUUAAAUAAUAUUCCAUUGUUUGCAUGUACUACACUUUAUUUGACCUUUCACCUAUGGAAGGAUAUCUUGGUUGCUUCCAAGCUUCUGUCAGUUAUGAAUAAAACUACUAUAGACAUCUUUGUGGGUAUAGAUUUCAUCUUCUUUGGAUAAAUACCAAGAACUGCUACUGCUGAAUCAUCUGGCAAGAAUAUGUUUAGUUUUGUAAGAAACUGCCAAGUUGUUUUCCAUUCUUUAUUCUCAAUAGACAUGGAAGAACAUUCCUGUUGCUCCACAUCCUCACCAACAUUUCGUGUUCUGUUGUCAGUGUUCUGGAUUCUGGAUGGAGAAAACAAAACUAGCUUGCAAGAAGGAAAUAACAGAAGACAUGUUGUGAUGUGAUACAGAAUCCUGGAAAAGGCAGUAACGUGGAAUAAAGGAGUAGGGAGAGCAUAUCAGGUAAUUUGGAUAGGAAGGAGUUAGGAGAUAAUUGCUUGAUAAAUUUUAUAUGGCCCACUUAAAUGCACAGAUUUCCCUUCUUUAAUUUAUAUGGAGAACAGGGUGUCCUUUCUCUUCCCUUUCAGAGCACCAGAGGUGUACUCUUUCAGACUGAAAACCUGAAAAGCUCAGGACUCAGUUGCUUAAGCACAGCUGAGAGGACAUAUUUCAAUUAAGAUUUACAUUUUGCUGUAGGUAGUAGACUGUCAAAAGUGGUUUAACCAUAUUUUUUCAUCUAACAAGAAGACUACAGAGAGUGUUUUCUGGUGUUGGUUCAGAGUCUUAAGAAAGUCAAGUGAACUCUCUUAGAGGUUUUCAUGGCUUUUUAUUCACAGUUGCAAAAAUUGCUGUUGGAGUUCUCACUAUUAAGCCCACAUUUCUGGCAGAAAGAUAGAGGUAAAAGAGAAUGAUAUCUUGUACGACUGAUACUUUGUCAUAUGGUUACAAUGUAACUAGAAAAGAGACAAUAAAAUAUUUGAUGUUGUUUUAAGUUUCCUUGUUGUCAAUCCCUCAGUGCUUUCUGAUAUUAAAGGAAAAAGUAGAUGGAUAUUGACCUGGCAACUAUCAACACCUGUCAGUCUCUCUUGGAUAACCAGUAUCUCUAUAAUCUCUUCUUCCCAGUAAAAAAAUAAAAUAUAUUCAUAACCCACACUGUGCCAUCUCAAGUUACUGCACCAAGAUAAAAUUACAAUGAUUUUCAGUUGUUCCAAAUGGACAGAAUACCCUUCCUUAUGAUAUCAUGUCUUAUAAGAUAGAUAAUUGGCUUGCUACCAAUAUACCCAGAUGUGACUGUGGAAGAGACAGGAAAAAAAUAAUAAUAUUUAUUUAUUCCUUGGGUUGACCCUGUUUACACAGAUGCAUUACUAUUAGAAAAGGUUGGUUUGGGACAUUGGAAUGAAUUUACUUAAUGGGUCUGUAUGUAAUUGGGUUGGAGGAAAUUUUUAAUUUCUACAAAAAUUAUUAGAAUUCUAUCUUAUUCUCUUUUGUUAAUUUUCACAUGUUAACAAAGCCAACGUUUUUGUCUAGCAGACAAGAUCUUAAAUCCUAACAAAACUCAAUUUUUUCCUUUUUUUUUUUUAAGUUUGAGAGCCUCAUGUUCUCUCAUGCUGCUUUAAAUACAACUCAA